GAGCUAAUCAGUGUACUACAAAAUAUAUGUAUAAUAUAUAUAUAUAUAUAUGUAUAUAUAUAUAUAUAUAUGUAUAUAUAUACAUAUAUAUAUAUAUAUAUAUAUAUUAUACAUAUAUUUUGUAGUACACUGAUUAGCAC